GGUCUCCGUUGGUGAACCAGCGGAGGGAUCAUUACUGAGUUUACGCUCUACAACCCUUUGUGAACAUACCUAUAACUGUUGCUUCGGCGGGUAGGGUCUCCGCGACCCUCCCGGCCUCCCGCCUCCGGGCGGGUCGGCGCCCGCCGGAGGAUAACCAAACUCUGAUUUAACGACGUUUCUUCUGAGUGGUACAAGCAAAUAAUCAAAACUUUUAACAACGGAUCUCUUGGUUCUGGCAUCGAUGAAGAACGCAGCGAAAUGCGAUAAGUAAUGUGAAUUGCAGAAUUCAGUGAAUCAUCGAAUCUUUGAACGCACAUUGCGCCCGCCAGCAUUCUGGCGGGCAUGCCUGUUCGAGCGUCAUUUCAACCCUCAAGCUCUGCUUGGUGUUGGGGCCCUACAGCUGAUGUAGGCCCUCAAAGGUAGUGGCGGACCCUCCCGGAGCCUCCUUUGCGUAGUAACUUUACGUCUCGCACUGGGAUCCGGAGGGACUCUUGCCGUAAAACCCCCAAUUUUCCAAAGGUUGACCUCGGAUCAGGUAGGAAUACCCGCUGAACUUAAGCA
rnacentral:rRNA from 1 species